ACCCGCUGAACUUAAGCAUAUCAAUAAGCGGAGGAAAAGAAACCAACAGGGAUUGCCUCAGUAGCGGCGAGUGAAGCGGCAAGAGCUCAGAUUUGAAAUCCGGUGCGGUCCCCGCGCCCGAGUUGUAAUCUGGAGAGGAUGCCCCGGCGAGGCCGGCCGUCCAAGUUCCUUGGAACAGGACGUCUUAGAGGGUGAGAACCCCGUACCCGGCGGCCUGCCUAGCCGCGUGGGGCUCCUUCGACGAGUCGAGUUGUUUGGGAAUGCAGCUCAAACCGGGUGGUAAAUUCCAUCUAAAGCUAAAUACCGGCGGGAGACCGAUAGCGCACAAGUAGAGUGAUCGAAAGAUGAAAAGCACUUUGAAAAGAGAGUUAAAAAGUACGUGAAAUUGUUGAAAGGGAAGCGCUUGCCAUCAGAAUCGGGGCCGGUCGAUCAGCGUUGCCUUCUGGCGCGUGCACUCGGCCGGUUUCCGUGCCAGCAUCGGCGGCCGCGGCGGGACAAAGGCGGCGGGAACGUGGCUCCCCUCGGGGAGUGUUAUAGCCCGCCGCGCAAUGCCGCCAGUGGCCGCCGAGGACCGCGCCCUCGUGCAAGGAUGCUGGCCUAAUGGUUGUAAGCGACCCGUCUUGAAACACGG
rnacentral:rRNA from 1 species